CAGGCCCGCAGGAUUCUAGCGACAGACACGGCCAGCAGCGCGUUUUCGGAGUCGAUCCUUUUCCUGUGUGUCAAUUUCAAGCGCCUUCGAGCACUCCAGCGAAGACCCACGUACAGCACGUGCAAACCACAUCUCCGGUGGCCGAUCGACUAUGAUUUCUUCAUUCUGGCAACAUUCGACACCUACCCGCACCCAAUCAAAGCUUGAUUUGAGUUACCCACCCCCUUCGGCAUUGAUUCAACGUUGACCCACUCUUUUCGGACCCAAAUCGGCAUUACCCAUCGCUUUUAGACAUCGGGACAGAAAGCUUAAGGCCUUUUGAACUCAGAUUUGGGAGCCCGAACCCCCUCGACGUCGACCCACUCCUAACCCAAGAGGUUUUAGUGUGAGUUAGUAGGAAAUCCUUCGGCGAGCUUAGUAACGUGUCAGGGCACUUGGGUAUCGAGCUAGCUUUUGGGAUGGUGAUGACGAGGAGGAGAUUUGACUAGAGAGACCAUUUAACGCUGCAUCGUUAAGUUUCCAUUUGGAUAGGAUAGUUAUAGUUGUUUAUUUGUAACUGAGUAUGUUUUGAGAUUAUUAAAUUAGGUUGUUAAGUUCCAAUUUUUCUUGGAGAAUGUGAUAGGGCUGAUAGUGCACUAUUCUUUUGAGAGCAUACAUUUUAUUUAGCUACUUGCACUUUGACGACGUGAUCUAUUGAGGAUAGUUAUUAGGAUAAUACAUUUGUUCAAGCUGAACUUGAAUUAGUCUUCUCUUUGCUGCUAUUCGAGUAAGUUAGUUUUGUGAAGUGGAUGGUUUUUGAUUAAUGCAGA